rnacentral:rRNA from 1 species
GAUGAACGCUGGCGGCGUGCCUAAUACAUGCAAGUCGAGCGAACAGACGAGGAGCUUGCUCCUCUGACGUUAGCGGCGGACGGGUGAGUAACACGUGGAUAACCUACCUAUAAGACUGGGAUAACUUCGGGAAACCGGAGCUAAUACCGGAUAAUAUAUUGAACCGCAUGGUUCAAUAGUGAAAGACGGUUUUGCUGUCACUUAUAGAUGGAUCCGCGCCGCAUUAGCUAGUUGGUAAGGUAACGGCUUACCAAGGCAACGAUGCGUAGCCGACCUGAGAGGGUGAUCGGCCACACUGGAACUGAGACACGGUCCAGACUCCUACAGGAGGCAGCAGUAGGGAAUCUUCCGCAAUGGGCGAAAGCCUGACGGAGCAACGCCGCGUGAGGGAUGAAGGUCUUCGGAUCGUAAAACUCUGUUAUUAGGGAAGAACAAAUGUGUAAGUAACUAUGCACGUCUUGACGGUACCUAAUCAGAAAGCCACGGCUAACUACGUG